rnacentral:lncRNA from 1 species
AACAAAAGAAGAAUCCCAAGAUAAUCACGUAAUUAUGUUAGGAGAGAUUCUCAGUUCAAUCUAAUCCUGUCUAAACAGGCUGAAAGAAAUUAGUCACUCAGAAUUAUAUAAAAGGCUCUAUUGAGUCUUGCAAUGGUAAACAACAGACCCUGGAGUUUGAGGACAACACCAAGGUACUGCCAUACUUGAGGUGGAGAUGGCGUUUCUCAG